AUUGAACGCUGGCGGCAUGCUUUACACAUGCAAGUCGAACGGUAACAGGCCGCAAGGUGCUGACGAGUGGCGAACGGGUGAGUAAUGUAUCGGAACGUGCCCAGUCGUGGGGGAUAACGCAGCGAAAGCUGCGCUAAUACCGCAUACGAUCUAUGGAUGAAAGCGGGGGACCGUAAGGCCUCGCGCGAUUGGAGCGGCCGAUAUCAGAUUAGGUAGUUGGUGGGGUAAAGGCUCACCAAGCCAACGAUCUGUAGCUGGUCUGAGAGGACGACCAGCCACACUGGGACUGAGACACGGCCCAGACUCCUACGGGAGGCAGCAGUGGGGAAUUUUGGACAAUGGGCGCAAGCCUGAUCCAGCAAUGCCGCGCGCAGGAAGAAGGCCUUCGGGUUGUAAACUGCUUUUGUACGGAACGAAACGGUCUGGGUUAAUACCUCGGGCUAAUGACGGUACCGUAAGAAUAAGCACCGGCUAACUACGUGCCAGCCGCCGCCGUAAAAC
rnacentral:rRNA from 1 species